rnacentral:rRNA from 1 species
CCUACGGGAGGCAGCAGUGGGGAAUAUUGGACAAUGGGCGAAAGCCUGAUCCAGCCAUGCCGCGUGUGUGAAGAAGGCCUUCGGGUUGUAAAGCACUUUCAGUGGGGAAGAAAGCCUUGGGGCUAAUACCCUCGAGGAAGGACAUCACCCACAGAAGAAGCACCGGCUGAACUCCGUGCCAGCAGCCGCGGUAAUACGGAGGGUGCGAGCGUUAAUCGGAAUUACUGGGCGUAAAGCGCGCGUAGGCGGUCUGAUAAGCCGGUUGUGAAAGCCCCGGGCUCAACCUGGGAACGGCAUCCGGAAAUGUCAGGCUAGAGUGCAGGAGAGGAAGGUAGAAUUCCCGGUGUAGCGGUGAAAUGCGUAGAGAUCGGGAGGAAUACCAGUGGCGAAGGCGGCCUUCUGGACUGACACUGACGCUGAGGUGCGAAAGCGUGGGUAGCAAACAGGAUUAGAUACCCGGGUAGUC